rnacentral:rRNA from 1 species
GACGAACGCUGGCGGCGUGCUUAACACAUGCAAGUCGAACGGAAAGGCCCUGCUUUUGUGGGGUGCUCGAGUGGCGAACGGGUGAGUAACACGUGAGUAACCUGCCCUUGACUUUGGGAUAACUUCAGGAAACUGGGGCUAAUACCGGAUAGGAGCUCCUGCUGCAUGGUGGGGGUUGGAAAGUUUCGGCGGUUGGGGAUGGACUCGCGGCUUAUCAGCUUGUUGGUGGGGUAGUGGCUUACCAAGGCUUUGACGGGUAGCCGGCCUGAGAGGGUGACCGGCCACAUUGGGACUGAGAUACGGCCCAGACUCCUACGGGAGGCAGCAGUGGGGGAUAUUGCACAAUGGGCGGAAGCCUGAUGCAGCAACGCCGCGUGCGGGAUGACGGCCUUCGGGUUGUAAACCGCUUUCGCCUGUGACGAAGCGUGAGUGACGGUAAUGGGUAAAGAAGCACCGGCUAACUACGCG